UAGCUCCAUUCCUUAUGCUUUCUAAAUGAUAAUCUAGUGUACUUGGAACGCUUGGUAACUUAGAUAGGUGAGGAUUGGGUCGGAACGUGGAUCCUAUGAUGUGAAAGAAAAGAGAUGAACCCGAUGGGGGUAUUGAUGACAUAGAGAGUAGUGUUUAGUGUAAAAGAACACACGUGUGGCAUCCAAAAGUUACAUGAUGACGAGUGGCAUUAAUGUAGUGUAUAUGACACUAGAGUUUGAGAACCUAGGGAUAGGUGGAUCCCUUAGAAAAUGCCUUGUGAACAAUGAAUUUAGAAAAGCUAAAUAGCAUUGCAUGAAUGUCGGGAACAAAGGAUCCCGCGAGAGAUGUUGACUCUAGUUGUAGAGUGCUUCCUCACUUGGAGAGGACUUGAUUGGGUUGUGACCCUAGUUGUAGAGUGUCCUCACUUGGAGAGAAUAGAUCUAGCUCACAGUCUGCGUUUAGGGUGGUAUAGCCAUCCGAUCCCCACAUGGAGGGGAUUGUCGUCGAGUACUCCGGAGUGUCGCGCGACUAGGACCACUUGGAGGUCCGGACCACAUGGAGGUCCGCAGACGGUCCCGGGCUUGGGUGCACUUGGAGCUCCCUCCCCACUUUGGGAUUGAAAGGUGAGUCAUGGGCGAGCCCUAGGGCCUCGCCACAGAUUGGGUAAAUGAAAAGGUUAAAGGUUUAUUAAUGUCAUUGAACAUUGCUAUUCGAACAUGGAUCGAAUUUGUUAGCAUGGUAGCAAACCUUUAUUAUAUGAUGCAUGCAUUCAUAUUCAUGAUUAUGGGCAUAGUAGCAUAGUUUUCCUACUACUGCAUUUACAGCUUUCAGAUACAUAUCUAUCUAUCUAUCUGUUGUUACUUGUGCCCACUUGGACCUAGUGGGGAGAUCGGCAGAGUCGGCGGCCGAGCCCACUGGGAACUAUGGAAGAUAGUUCUCACCCCACUCUAUUUCCAGUGGUAGGUACAGGGUUGUCGAGAGAGGACCGCGGCAAGGGCAUCGCGCCCAAUUAGUGAGACCGUGGUAGCAUAGUAGCUUUCCUUUUUUGCAUUAGUACACCUAUGUAUUUGAGAGAUGCAUUGUAGGUGAGGAUUUGGAGAGCUAUGUAUUUUGAGAAUGAUGUAAAUGAAAAUGAUGAAACUACUGUAAUAGUUAGUAAAGUACUCUCUUCAUUUCACAUGUUAUUCCUGUGGAUUGCUUGCUCUUUGUAUCGUUGGCACUGUUCGUGCCCUUGUGAAUGUGUAUGAUUAGAAUUUAAAUUCCUAGGUAAAUUCUUGUACACAUUCUUGUUGUGAGCCUUGGGCGGACAGGGGAGGUGCUGUCCGUUCGGCGGUCCGCUCGGCGCACCCGAAUCGUGCCAAAUUGGUAGUGGUUUCGGGCCGGGGCGUGACAGCUGUUUUGGUAUCAGAGCCUAAGAGCAAGUAAAGAGAGAAAGUCUAGGAUGACCUAGGAGACCCUAGGUUGGUAAGCCUUAAGGUUGUAGGUGCGUGAGCGGAACGUGAACCUAUAACGAUGGCGGAAGUUGAUUCGAUUGGGUCGAAGUUUGUAAUAUGUCUCUAGUUGUGGUUAGAGACGGAUUCAAGUGGUAUGCGUUCUUGUCUUGAGGUGGUUGUGUUGGCGGCCGACGACAUGAUACCAAGAGUCUAGAAUGAGUACACUUGUGUGCUUCCGCCCGAUUUUGUUGUUGAGUCGUCAUGUGUCGUGAUUUUCGACGAGGUGAAUAGUUAAGACGACUGACCAAGUAUUUGCGUUUCAGGAACUAAUGUCUCCAAGACGCUACACACGUAGAUCUACUCUGGCACCGACUCCUGAGGUGCCCGAGCCGGACGAACCGAGUGUGAUGGAUCGGUUGCAGGCGCAAGUGGCCGCAUUGACCAAUGUGGUGCAGCGCCAGGAGAACCGAUUCGAGUGGCUCCAGGAGCUCUUGGAGCGGCAGGCGGCGGCAGCGGCCGCAACGGCGACGGACGGACGCGAUGUGCCCGCGCCCUCGGCUCGUGUACCUGAGCCAGCUGAGGGUGAGGGUAUAGCGGCGGUUUCGGUGGCGGCGCGUCCCCCGCCGGCGAUCGUACCACCGGCAGCGUCGGGAUCGGCUACACCCGAUGUGACGGCCGAGGAUGUGGAAGGAGGGCGCGCAUUGGCGGCUCUUAUCAAGUUCAAUAAGUUCCAUCCGUCGACCUUUGAGGGCGAGAAGGUGGAACCGGCGAUGGUCGAGUCUUGGAUCGACUCGAUGGAAACCCUCUUCGAUGAUUUGCGUACCUUGGAGAGGGAUAAGGUGUACCUCGCCACCCAUUGCUUGGAGAAGGCGGCGAAGGUGUGGUGGAAGCGCGUCAAACGGGAUCGGCUUCCCGGCCUUCCGCCGAUGUUGUGGGAGGAAUUUAAGCGGGAGAUGUUUGCCAACUAUUUCCCCGAUACAUUGAAGCGGAAGCUCAAGGAGAAGUUCCGCAAGUUAGAGCAAGGGGACCGCUCAGUGGCGGAGUAUGAACAAGAGUUCUCCCAUAUCAUAGACUGUGUCCCGGACGUUGUAAAGGAUGACCGGGACCGGGCCGAGUGGUUCUUGCGAGGACUUCGGCCGGGAAUCUAUAAGGCCGUGUAAAUACUCAAACUCACGACCUUUGCGGAGGUCUUUGAUCGAGCCCUAUGGGCGGAGCACGGAGACGCCCACGUUCGGGAGAAGCGUGAACUUUUGGCCGAGUCCAAGGACAAGGGCAAGAAACACCAAGGCGGCGGUGAUUCGAGAGGUCAAACACGUUACAAGAAACCCCCGAAGUAUCCGCGCACUCAACAGAAGGGCGGUGGAGCGCGGCGGUGCAUUGUAUGCGGCGGAGACCACCCAGUCUCGCGCUGUGAGCAAGGCCGAGGCAAGUGCUACAAGUGCGGGCAACCGGGGCACUUCAUUCGGGACUGCCCGGGAGGAGGAGCCUCACCUGCCCCAUCGAUUGCAUCGGCGCCGGCGAUUCCGGCUCACUAUGGAGGAGCUCCACCGACGGCCGCGUCGACGGGACACGCGAUGAUGCCGCGUCAACCUGAAGUGACGCGAUCGGCCCCGAGCGGACGGGUAUUCGCCGCUCAGGUCCAAGCUGAGGAACCUGCGGAGGCGGAGGAGCAUCGCCUUGUGGCAGGUAUGGUUUUAAUUAACGGAGUUCGCUCCAGGGCUUUAUUUGAUACAGGAGCCACCCAUUCAUUCAUAAGUAGAUCAUUCGCACGCAUGCAUGACAUUCUCAUAGAGGCGAGUGACAAAUGGCGAGUCGAGGGCCCUGGGUCGACGUUUAACACUUACUCGGAGUGUGCGUCGUGUCCGGUACAAAUAGGCGACUGGAUUAUGCCUAUCCGAACACUGGAACUCACAAAGCUUGAGGCUUAUGACGUCAUUCUGGGUAUGGACCGGCUCUCGAAAUAUCACGCAACAAUUGACUGCAAGAGUAGGGUGAUCACAUUCCGUGAGCCAGGACAAAAGGAAUUCACCUAUCGGGCUUGUCAGAGCUCGUGCUUCAUCGCGACGGUGUCGGCGACAAGAGCAAGAAAGUUGGUGAGCAACGGUUGUGCGGCGUUCUUAGCGACCGUUGUAGAGGUGGAUCGAGUAACUCCCACAUUGGAGAAGAUAUCAGUGGUGCGGGAGUUCCCGGAUGUGUUUCCUACGAAGUUGCCGGGGAUACCACCGGAUCGGGAGAUCGAGUUCGUUAUAGACUUGGUUCCCGGUACCGCACCGAUCUCGAAGGCUCCGUACCGAAUGGCGCCGGCGGAACUGAAAGAGUUGAGGAGUCAAUUGCAAGACCUCCUCGACAAGCAAUUUAUCCGGCCAAGUGUAUCAUCGUGGGGAACCCCGGUGUUGUUCGUGAGGAAGAAAGACGGAUCGUUUCGACUCUGUGUGGAUUAUCGAGAGUUAAACAGAGUCACGAUCAAGAACAAGUACCCACUACCCCGAAUCGAUGACCUGUUCGAUCAGUUACAAGGGUCGUGCGUGUACUCGAAGAUAGAUUUGCAAUCCGGCUAUCACCAGUUGAAAAUCAAGCCGGAGGAUGUGCAAAAGACCGCGUUCCGCACGCGGUAUGGACACUAUGAAUUCACGGUUAUGCCAUUUGGACUCACGAAUGCUCCAGCGGCGUUCAUGGAUUUGAUGAACCGUGUCUUCAGAGAAUAUUUGGACCGAUUUGUCGUGGUAUUCAUAGACGACAUCUUGGUCUAUUCUCGCAGCGACGAGGAACAUGCCGAGCAGUUGAGGAUAGUGCUUCAAGUCCUUCGGGAGGAGAAGCUAUAUACUAAGCUGAAGAAGUGUGACUUCUGGCUUCGCGAAGUCGCCUUCUUAGGGCAUGUGAUUUCCGUGGGUGGAACUUUAGACCCGAGGAAAGUUGAAGCAAUCAAGGAUUGGCCGCGCCCGACAAAUGUCACGGAGGUUCGAAGCUUCGUGGGCUUAGCGGGUUAUUAUAGGCGGUUUGUGGAAGGCUUCUCCAAGAUUGUAAUUCCACUUACCCGCCUGACUCAGAAAGGCACCAAGUUUGUUUGGAGCGAGGAGUGCGACCGGAGUUUCAAGGAGUUGAAGCAAAGACUGACUUCGACUCCGGUGCUCGCUCUACCGGUGCAGGGCGAAGACUUCGUAGUCUACAGCGAUGCCUCCUAUCUUGGAUUGGGGUGUGUAUUGAUGCAAAACGGGAAAGUGAUCGCUUAUGCAUCCCGUCAGCUGAAGAGCUAUGAGAAGAACUACCCCAUUCAUGAUUUGGAGCUAGCGGCGGUGAUUUUCGCCUUGAAGCUGUGGAGGCACUACCUAUAUGGUGCCCAUUGUGAGAUUUAUACCAACCACAAGAGCUUGAAGUACCUGUUUACACAGAAGGAGCUCAACAUGCGUCAGCGGCGGCAGUUGGAGUUGUUAAAGGAUUAUGACGUUGAUAUCCUCUACCACCCCGGGAAGGCAAAUGUGUUCGCGGAUGCACAUAGUAAGAAGUCGGCAAAGAACCUCGCCUUUGAUGUUACCCAGCAAACACCCCUAUGGCUGGAUUUGGAGCGAUUAGACCUUGAAGUGGUCGCUCCCGAGGUCCCGACUCAGUUGAUGGCACUCGUUGUCCAACCGACCUUGUUGGAGAGGAUCAAGGAUCUGCAGCCCGCAGACCCAGAACUCCAAAAGGUGCGGCGAAACAUCGAGGAUGGUCACGACGGCGAUUUCAGUAUGAACACUGAUGGUACGCUUCGGUUUCGAAAUCGGUGGUGUGUGCCAAAAGAUGAAGAGCUUCGUGAAUUGAUUCUACAAGAAGCACACCGAUCUCCAUAUGCCGAUCACCCGGGCGGCACCAAGAUGUAUCAAGGACUAAAAAUGCACUAUUGGUGGCCGGGAAUGAAAGGUGAUAUUGGACGCUUUGUGGCGAAGUGCUUAACGUGCCAACAAGUAAAGGCCGAGCGUCGAUUUCCAGCGGGAAAGCUUCAAAGCCUACCAAUCCCCGUUUGGAAAUGGGAGGAUAUAUCAAUGGACUUCGUGGUCGGCUUGCCCCGUUCAACGGGCGGCCACGAUGCAAUUUGGGUAAUUGUGGACCGAUUGACGAAGUCGGCUCACUUCUUGCCGAUCCACACCACGUGGUCGGGUGACAAGUUAGCGCAGGUAUACCUUGACGAGAUAGUGAGACUGCAUGGGGUGCCGAAAUCGAUCGUGUCGGAUCGUGACCCCCGGUUCACUUCACACUUCUGGAAGAGCCUGCAGGGAGCCCUUGGCACACGGCUCGACUUUAGCACCGCAUUUCAUCCUCAGACCGAUGGGCAAACAGAGAGAACCAUUCAAACUCUGGAGGACAUGUUGCGAGCGUGUGUCAUCGACUAUAAGGGAAGUUGGUGUGACCACCUACCUAUGGCCGAGUUCGCCUACAACAACAGUUAUCAUGCUAGUGUGGAGAUGGCACCGUUCGAGGCUCUCUAUGGGCGGACGUGUCGGUCUCCUAUACACUGGAGCGAUGUGGGCGAGCGUGCGGAGUUCGGCCCCGAUGUGUUGCGAGAAGCAGAGGAGAAAGUCCGCCUUGCUCGCAAGAGAUUGCUCACUGCGCAGUCAAGACAGCAAAGCUAUGCGGACAGGUGCCGACGAGAUAUAGAGUUCACGGUGGGUGACAGCGUAUUCUUAAAAGUUUCACCGAUGCGGGGUAUGAAGCGGUUUGGAGUGCGGGGAAAGCUAAGUCCCCGAUACAUUGGACCCUAUGAAAUAUUGGAGCGAGUUGGCACGGUGGCUUAUCGACUCGCUUUGCCGCCGAAGCUCGCGGAUGUACACAAUGUGUUCCAUGUCUCCAAUCUCCGCAAGUAUAUUCACGAUCCCGAGCAUGCGAUGCUAUAUGAACCGCCGAAACUUCAAGGAGACUUGAGUUAUGAAGAGUUUCCGAUAGGGAUUAUCGCCUGAGAAGUGCGAAAGAUAAGGAAUCAAGAAAUUCCCUACGUGAAGGUUAGGUGGAGCAAUCAUGAUGAUCGCGAGGCCACCUGGGAACUCGAGGAUCUGAUGAGAAGACACCACCCUCAUCUGUUCGAGGAGUGAGGUAAAGAUUUAAAUUAAGUAAAGAAUCGAAUUAGUUUCGAGGACGAAACUCCUUUUAAGGAGGGGAGGAUGUAAGGAAGUGAAUUCUCGAAAUCCGAGAGUUGUACUUCAUCCAGGAUCGACUAAUUGUCGAGAGAAUACCCUUUGGGGAAAUUAAAAAUAUCCAGAGCACAAAAAGUGCCUUGGAGUUGANUUAGUUUCGAGGACGAAACUCCUUUUAAGGAGGGGAGGAUGUAAGGAAGUGAAUUCUCGAAAUCCGAGAGUUGUACUUCAUCCAGGAUCGACUAAUUGUCGAGAGAAUACCCUUUGGGGAAAUUAAAAAUAUCCAGAGCACAAAAAGUGCCUUGGAGUUGAGUCCACGAGAGCAAAUAGCGCAAACAGCAUUAUUAGGCUGAUGUUACUCUCGGGGACCGGUCUCUGGAGGUGAGAGACCGGUUCCAUCGGCUGGGCAUAGCGGGGUUGCUUGGUGCAACCGGUCCCUGGCAGGGAGGGACCGGUUCCCGAACGUGGUCCCAGCGAGAAAUGCCGAAAUUUGGCUAAGUCCUGAAAAUUGAGCUCUCGAGGACCGGUCUCUCAGGCGAGGACUGGUCUCCCGAGGACCGGUUUCCCGGGGAGAGACUGGUUCCCGAAUGCGUGCACCCGAGGGAGGCUCUCGGGGACCGGUCCCAAGUCGGGGAGACCGGUCCCUCCGCGCGAAAACCGCCCAGUAAGGGCUGUGCAAGGGGUUAAAAGUUGAGGGGUCUAAAUGCAAAAUGGCCUUUAUUAGAGAGAGCUGAGCCCUCUCUCCCUCACACUCUCUCAUUUCACUCUCUCUCACUCCCAUUUCUCUCUUGCUCUCUCUCUCUCUAGAAAAGAAAGGAGAAGUACAAGAAUAAGAAGGAGGGGAAGGAAAAGAAGGAGAAGGAAAGGAAGGAGAAGAAGAAGGAGAUCAAGAGGAAGGCCUUGGACACCUUUAUCUCCCUCUCCUCUUCUCUUUGGAGUAGCACAUGAGGUAGGCUCUUGAACCCUAGCUCCUAGAACUUAGGGUUUUGGGUUUUUAUGCUUUGGAAUGGGUCAAAUGGGCCCUAAGCAAGCUUCUAAAUAGAUCAAUCCCAAGAAUCUAGGGAUUUAUUGGUGGUUUGCUAUAGGUGCAAACCUAGGGCUCCAAAAUGGAGUUUUUGUAAAAAUGUGAGAUUGAUCUCAUUUGAAGCCUUGGAAACCCUAUUGAUAGGUCACAAAACGCGGGGGCGAAGUCGGUUUUGGCAUUUGGCGAGCCGGCGUGAAGUUCUCGGCAAAAUAGGGCCGGGUUAACAUUGAUUUGGGCAAGGGAAGGCUAAAGCCUUUUCGUAAAGUACGCCGAGGAGCAUUUCUAAAGCCUCUACAUCGAUAAAAGGUGGGGGGUGCCAUCCCGAAGCUUUCGAACUCCUUUCUAUGUCUUAGAUUUGCAUUUAAUCUCAUCUCUUCAUGUUGCAUUGUAGGAUUGCAUAGUAGCUCCAUUCCUUAUGCUUUCUAAAUGAUAACCUAGUGUACUUGGAACGCUUGGUAACUUAGAUAGGUGAGGAUUGGGUCGGAACGUGGAUCCUAUGAUGUGAAAGAAAAGAGAUGAACCCGAUGGGGGUAUUGAUGACAUAGAGAGUAGUGUUUAGUGUAAAAGAACACACGUGUGGCAUCCAAAAGUUACAUGAUGACAAGUGGCAUUAAUGUAGUGUAUAUGACACUAGAGGUUUGAGAACCUAGGGAUAGGUGGAUCCCUUAGAAAAUGCCUUGUGAACAAUGAAUUUAGAAAAAAGCUAAAUAGCAUUGCAUGAAUGUCGGGAACAAAGGAUCCCGCGAGAGAUGUUGACUCUAGUUGUAGAGUGCUUCCUCACUUGGAGAGGACUUGAUUGGGUUGUGACCCUAGUUGUAGAGUGUCCUCACUUGGAGAGAAUAGAUCUAGCUCACAGUCUGCGUUUAGGAUGGUAUAGCCAUCCAAUCCCCACAUGGAGGGGAUUGUCGUCGAGUACUCCGGAGUGUCGCGCGACUAGGACCACUUGGAGGUCCGGACCACAUGGAGGUCCGCAGACGGUCCCGGGCUUGGGUGCACUUGGAGCUCCCUCCCCACUUUGGGAUUGGAAGGUGAGUCAUUGGCGAGCCCUAGGGCCUCGUCACAGUUUUGGUAAAUGGAAAGUUAAAGGUUUAAAAAUGUCAUUGAACAUUACUAUUCGAACAUGGAUCGAAUUUGUUAGCAUGGUAGCAAACCUUUAUUAUAUGAUGCAUGCAUUCAUAUUCAUGAUUAUGGGCAUAGUAGCAUAGUUUUCCUACUAUCGCAUUUACAGCUUUCAGAUAUCUAUCUAUCUAUCUAUCUCUCUGUUGUUGCUUGUGCCCACUUGGACCUAGUGGGGAGAUCGGCAGAGUCGGCGGCCGAGCCCACUGGGAACUAUGGAAGAUAGUUCUCACCCCACUCUAUUUUCAGUGGUAGGUACAGGGUUGUCGAGAGAGGACCGCGGCAAGGGCAUCGCGCCCAAUCAGUGAGACCGUGGUAGCAUAGUAGCUUUCCUUUUUUGCAUUAGUACACCUAUGUAUUUGAGAGAUGCAUUGUAGGUGAGGAUUUGGAGAGCUAUGUAUUUUGAGAGCCAUCGCGAUACAUACUCGCCGUGCGAGAUUGGGCGCCGAAGUGGAUUGCGGUGGGCUAGGCUCAUCCCUAGAGUGGAGAUGUUGACUACUACGGGGCCAUUAGGCACGGCACCGGCCAGACAGCCUACGGGUGGGUCUUCAGGCCAGACAGCCUUCGGGCGGGUCUUACAAGAUUUAAACUUUAAGUAGUUAACAUGCCAAGUGGAUAUUGAUAGAAUAGUAAACAAU
rnacentral:lncRNA from 1 species